AUGGCGAGCUUCAUCGUGGCGGACGCGUCGGAGUACCUGGCCAUCACCGGCUGGGGCAUCAACGACGUGAAGCUGGCUAAGAAGGCGUGGGUGUUCGCGGGGCAGCAGUGCAAGAGGUUCAGCGUCACGCCCGUCAACUACGAGUUCGAGGUGAACGCCAUGAGCUCCGAGAAGCUGCCCUUCGUCCUGCCCGCCGUCUUCACCAUCGGGCCCCAGGUGACCACCCUGAAGCUCGGCGACGCCGCCGAGGCGGCCGUGGAGGCCAAGCUCCUGCUCUACGCCAAGCUCAUCGCGCCGCUGCACCUGGGCGGCGCCUCGGCCAGCCGCGUGCACGACCUGGUGAAGGGCGUGAUCGAGGGCGAGACGCGGGUGCUGGCGGCGCAGCUCACCAUGGACGAGAUCUUCACCGGCACCAAGAUGUUCAAGAAGGAGGUGUUCGACAGCGUGCAGAAGGAGCUGGACCAGUUCGGGCUCUUCAUCUACAACGCCAACGUGAAGCAGCUGGUGGACGUGCCGGGCCACGAGUACUUCUCCUACCUCGGCCAGAAGACGCAGCAGGAGGCGGCCAGCAGGGCCAAGGUGGACGUGGCGGAGGCGAGGAUGAAGGGCAAGGUGGGCGCCAAGGAGCGGACCGGCCUCACGCUCCAGAAUGCCGCCAAGGUGGACGCCGAGACCAAGGUGCUGUCGGUGCGGCAGCAGGGCGAGGCGCUCAAGGAGGAGGCCAAGGUCAAUGCCGAGGUGCAGGUUUUUCAGAACGCCAGGGAGGCCGACGUCGCCGCCGCAAUGACCGACCUCGCCAUGAAGAAGGCCGGCUGGGACCGGCAGGCCAAGGUCGCCGAGGUGGAGGCCGCCAAGGCCGUCGCCAUCCGCGACGCCGAGCUGCAGAUGGAGGUCGAGAUCAAGAACGCCCUCUGCCAGACCGAGAAGCUCAAGGCCGAGCAGCUCAGCAAGGCCACCGUGCAAUAUGACACACAGGUUCAAGAGUCGAAUGCGCUGUUCUACGGCCGGCAGAAGGCGGCGGAGGCGGCUCUGUACGAGGAGAUGAAGGCGGCGGAGGCGCGCAAGGCGCAGGCCGACGCGCUCUUCUUCGAGCAGAAGAUGGCGGAGGACGCCAAGCUGUACGCCAAGCAGCGAGAGGCGGAGGCGCUGUCGCUGGUGGGCAGGGCCAAGGCGGACUACGUGGCGUCCAUGCUGGCGACGCUCGGCGGCGACUACCGCGCGCUCAGGGACUACCUCAUGAUCGACGGCGGCAUGUACGCCGAGAUGGCGCGCAUCAACGCCAGCGCCGUCAACGGCCUGCGGCCAAAGAUCAGCGUCUGGAGCAACGGAGAUGGUGGCGGCGAGGGCGGCGCACUGCAGCAGGUGGCUGGGGUGUACAAGAUGCUCCCGCCGUUGCCGGAGACGGUGCACGAGCAGACCGGGAUGUUGCCGCCGGCGUGGAUGGGCACGCUGUCCAAGGACGGCGCCGCCGCCAACUGA
rnacentral:rRNA from 1 species